UGCUUGUUAAAUGAAGAAAUAGGUCCUCGAGACAGUGACUACAUUGCUUCAGUUCUUGGGGACUACUUUGGUGAUGAAACUAGUGAGACAGACUAUGAAGCAGUAAAAGAUAUGGAAGAAGAGGUAGAGGAAGGGAAAGAAGAA